AAUAAGGUUUUGUGUAUUUUUAAUGAUAAAUAUGAAAACUUUUUUUCCUAAAUAAAAAACAAAUCGACUGAUGUGUAUUUGUGGUGCGUGACCAGUCUGCGCUGGUAUAAGGUUAUAUUGCAACUAUUGCACAGGAAAUAGAGUCAUGCAUUUGAUCUCGUAAUGAAUGAAAAGUUUAAAGUGCAGCAUUUAUCAGAAUUUCACACAUCUUAAUAUACCUGCACGUAUAGAUCGAUAUAUAUAUCAACAUGAGCGAUUUACAAACCACCGUAUGGACGGUACCUGGAGGCAGUGGUGGUGUUUAAUCAUUGUUAUCUCAUUAUGUUAUCGCAAACUUUAAUCAGUCUAAUUUCUAUGACAGAUAUGGCAAAACUAUUAAGUGUAUUAAUUCAUUUAUAUAUUUCUUUGAUUUUAGCAAAAAUGAAUCUAGAAGACCUUAAACAAUAUAAACAUUCAUUUAAGCUAUUUUUCCAUUGUUACCAGACAUGGCUCAGUACCUUUUCGUAUGCUAUUUAGUAAAUUAUUUAUUUGUUCCUCCAGAGUUUAAGUAUCUAGUCAUCAAGCAAAGAAAAGAUAUGAAUAUAGAUUUCAUGCAAUGUCCAGUCAGCAAUUUCCCUGUCACUGAAGCAGCUGAAGCCGGUUCCUAGUACCAACUGUGCAGGGUCCCCAUGAUCAACAUGAAUCAAUCCAGAAACCAUCCGGCUAACAGUGAAAGGAUUGCUCUGUACUAACCAAGGAUUGUAGGCUUUGUCUUUGUGGAGCUGUGAGAUACUGGGCUUCUUUAUCUGGGCAAAGUAUUACAAUGGUUUACCAUAUGAGACUAUCCAUCAUUAUGUAAGAUUUCAAUAAGCAACAGGUUUAUUGGGUUGCAUAUAUACUGUAGAUAAAUCUUCCUCCUUCUGUUUGCCUUGGAGACAUCUGUUACUGAUUGAGUCAUUCAAAUCAGAGGGGUAUCAGCCAAAAAAAAAAACAUGAAAUUGGUCAAACUGAAGACCUUUGCCCUAGAAUGUCUAUGUUCUGGCAAAAAUAAGGGGAAGCCAGUCUGUUUGUAGAGCCGAGUAAGCGUUUAUGUGGGAGUGAGCUGAGGAAGCGAUGAGCCAGAGGAACCUCCUAAACAUGGAAUGGAGAGGAGAUGUAUAUUCCUUCAGUCAUUCCUAGUUGCAAGCAAAGAACCAAUGGCUGUCGUUUGGUGUCUUUUUGUGAUGUGACUGUGCCUAUUGUCUUGCUUGGGAUGGUGGCAAUUCCGCUUCUUCUAGCGUUAGUCUGCCGUUGUGGCAUCUCUUUCAUUGAUUGUGUGGGACUGUCUGCCUGUGAAUGAGCCAGAAGGCAGUUUUAUAAUAGCUGAAGCCGUGAGGCGAUGAGUAAUAACAACCUUAAAAAUGGGCUGCAAACAAGUUUCUGCCUUAAGCAUAUUUGUCAGAGUAGAUGUUCCUCCAGGCUGCUUGGAUGCUCCGGUUUACUGUUGGGUAAUUUCAACACCUGCUUGCUGUAGCUUGGUCAGACAACAGAGAGCCACACCGAGAAGACUUGCUGACUGAGUGAUUGUGGUUUUCUUUUCUUUUUUUCUUUUUAAAUCUCGUAAACACCCACAGCUCACAGGAUGUCUAUUGUGCUGCUCAGAAAGGGGUAACUAACGGGCAAGGGUAGAUUUACGUAGAUCUUUAGAAUUCUGUAUCCACAGAGAAUUUGCUAGAUUACCAAGAAUUCUAGAUUCUUGAUUGGGUUAUGUUGGAUACUAGCAGUUGUAAUACAUGAUUUGGUAUAGUCCUGCAGAACCCUUGGUACACUUGUCUAUAAAGGCACAGUUUGUCUCCCAUGAACACUUGCAGGAUAUAAGAAAACACUCAUUGUUGUCUUUACAUAAGGGAAUAAAUGCUGAGGAAAACACUGAAUGAGAGAACAGCAGACUCUUUGAGCAAGGAAAGGAUUUUAAAAAUAUGGCUCAGAUUGUGGAUAUAAAAUGGGAAGUAUCGGAAGUGAAUGAGGACUAAAGUGCUUAGAUGGGUCUGUCUUGUGACUUUGAAUGAGGUGUCUGUUUAAACUGGUGCUGCUUAAGUAGACAAUAGGUACUGUAUGCUGUUGCGAAACAGGUCUGUCAGCUGUUUUUGUAGAACUGCUGUUCUGAAAAUUGUCCUUUGGAAAAUGAGUCUUGCGUGUAACAGGGCAUUAACCGAGUGUCAGGGACGAUCGUGCCAUUUUCUGCGUACAGUCCUAUCCGUGCUAUUGGUUCGUGAUGAGAAGCAUCUCAGGAUACACUUGUUUAUUCGUUCGUAUGGAUGGGAUGAAGAUAAGACUCAGACAUCUGAAAAGUAAAAACAAAGCAAAGGGAAGCACGGCAUGUUCUUACGCCCCGCAGGGGAGGGCUGGAAGGAAUUUGAGAGCAGGGCCCAACAUGUCAGGGCCAGUGGGACAUGACAAAAUGAGAAAAAACAAGGGACAGAAAUGUAAAAGCCAAGGUAAACACUUACUGUGAUCCUAGAUAUGUAUUCACGGCAAAUGGCGAAUAGGCAGGCUGGGUGGGAGGAGUUAUGAGACACCCCCUGAAAAUCACUGGCCAGCAACAAUCAGCUGAUGUCAGUUGUUUUUUUUUUUUUUUUAACCCUUUUUGGUUUGACCACAUUUUAGCUAUUGCCAUGAAGAAAUGUGAUUUAGAAAUCGACUUCAUCAGUCUGCUUAUGGCCAUGGAUAGCAAUCUGUUGAAUAUAUAUGUAGCCAAGUGACCAAUAACCAAAUAAUGCCAAAUGAAGCUGGUAUACGUCAGAAGAAAUCGACAGAAUUUAUAUCUUUUUGGUACAUCGAUAUCGUAAGAGUGUUUUGGCGUGUCAUCAGUGCAGGGUCCCCGAGGUUCACCAUGGAUCUGUACUGGAUAAGUCAUGGAUGGAUAUAAUCUCUGAUCAACACUUUGGUGAAGACCAGGAAGCAGGAAUGCUGAAAAAUAACAUAUAAUGUAACAUUAGGCAUUUCGCAAUAAAUAAAUGUUGUUCAGACAUGUCUGUAAAGUAAAAAACCAGUUAUGUGACUGUUGUACUUUGUCAUUCCCUCCAUUUCGAACUGCAAGACUUAACGUAACUGCUAAACAAGUGUCAGCUAUCAUUCACCAGAUGCACUAAAAAAUCUUCGUUAUGGUGCCAACAGAACCUUGGGUGUCUUAGGUUUUGCUUUGCGUCUCAGCCGCCCACAAUAAAAACACAGAAACCAAGCAUAUUUAAUACUCUUUAUUGGUUCAGCAGAAACCUUUCGCACUAUGGCUAACACACUGAAAAGGUGUCGUUGAGGGCGCAAUGCUGCUUGGACAAAGACGGUGUGGAUCGCCAAGGCAACUUUAUAAUGGACCGCAGCAGCAUACUCAUGUCACCUCUUAGUACAAUCACACACGAUCAAACAUAGUAAAGCAUUACAAAAACUAAGCAGUUCCAUAUUUCAUACGCUAGGUCCUUACACACAUACAAGAAUGUAACUUCUAUUGCUUUAAGGACAUCAAAUAUAUAAAUUGACUACAACUCGAGGAAGCAUUUCAUUGGAAAUUGUUGAAAAGGACAAAUUUGUGUGCAAUGCAAUAGGCCAAGAGAGGUUA